AACAAAUCAAAGCAAACUCAGGGUUGCGUAGUGAAAAACUUGUCAUUUUUUCUGUUGUUGAUGGAAGUGGUGAGGAUUUCAGAUAAAAAUAAUGUUUUCUGGCCAAAAAGAACCAGUAACAGGGCACCUGUUUCAGGGAAUUUUGCUGAUUAGAGGCCAACCAGUACUGUAUGGUAAAGCUCAGCAAAAAUCCAAAAAGCUGAAUGUUCCGGCGUAGAAUUGAAAAAGUGCAACUGGUUUAGUUCCCGGAAGGAUUGGUUUGGAGCUGUCAAGAUUAAAUAACCUGUGACAUU